AAUAAAUCUAAUACUAUCUGGUGAGGUUUAAACGUAAAACGGGGUAAGAUAAUUAACUUAAUUCAAGAUUUAUUCUCUGAAAAAGUCUUAAUUCUUACACACAGUUUUUAUCUUCUUUUACGAACGUUUGGAUAUUUUUGUAGUGUGUGUGUCAGUUUUGUCUAAUGGUGUUCUUGGAUGGAGAAUGAGAACACAGAGAAAACCAGCUGUGCAGGAAACUCCCCUGAGUUUGGAUGGUAAACAGUCACAGGUCUGUAUCUGUAGAUGCUGCAUGCACACGCUUGUCAUCUGUGCACAACAAUUAUAUGACUCAUGAUGAAAUCAGAGAGCUUGGGAGUGUCAGGCUGGCUUAGGCAGGGUGUGUUUGAGGGAAAGUUUGUGCAGACAACGCCCAUGUUUUCUGCGCUCACAUGGCAAACAGCCUAACAAUAGGAUGCAGUCCUACGCAUCAUAUAGUCAUGUGAAGUGCUGAGAUGGUAUAUCAAUGUGUUCAGUUUUUUAUUUGUGGUUGUGGAGGCACAUCUUUCACACCCCACUUAAGUACGUGUCAGCUUUAAAGCUCACCGUAGCCACCAGAUCCAGUCUGUCUCCAGGUCAGAUGGUCACUGCAGUCACCUGGAUCCAGUACGUAUCCAGCCCAGAUGGUGGAUCAGCACCUAGAAAGGACCUCUACAGCCCUGAAUGUCAGCGGAGACCAGGUCAACUAGAUGAGCCCAAGAUACAGAACCCCUGUAAAGACCUUGUCUCAGAUGACCACCGGGACAAGACCACAGUAAACAGAUGAUUCUUCUGCACAAUCUGACUUUGCUGCAGCCUGGAAUUGAACUGCUGGUUUCUUCUGGCCUGAGUUUGGUUUCUCUCAAGGUUUUUUCUCCAUUCUGUCACCGAUGGAGUUUUGGUUCCUUGCCGCUGUCACCUCUGGCUUGCUUAGUUGGGGACACUUCAUUUACAGCAAUAUCGUUGACUUGAUUGCAAAUGAUUGCACAGAUACUUUUUAAACUGAACUGAGCUGCAUGAUGACAUCACUGAAUUGUGGCCAAACCACUUUAAAACCAGCUUAGGAGAGCAGUCAAAGCAGUAAUCAGCGUAAGCUGGUUUUAGCUGGCUUUUCUUUUUAUUUAUUAAUUUUUUUUUCAGUAGGGCGUUGUUAAGCUUUGCUAUGGCAAUAGACAGCUUGAAUACACCAUAAGUCUAAUUGUAUAAAAGUUUUCACCCCCUCAGUGAAAGUGGGAUUUUUGGUGGUUUUGAUAGUCUGGUUUACGAAAAACCAUAAGCAGGAUCAGUUAGAAAAGAUGUAACAACCCGAAUCAGACCAGUCUGAAGGUCUGACCUAAGUUUGGUGGUUGUAGCUUUAAAAGUCUAGAAGGAGAUACAUUUAAAAAUUUGAAGAAGAAGAAGAAGAAGAAGAAGAAGAAGAAGAAGAAGAAGAAGAAGAAGAAGAAGAAGAAGAAGAAGAAGAAGUUUAAACCGGAUUUCAGUAUGUUGGCUUUUUCAAGCCAACUUAAUAACAGCUAGUAUUUAGUUCAUUUUUACUGCUUUAUUCAGUGUCAGGUUAUCAGUAUAUUUUAUGGCACACUACCUUUUAUAAAUGUUGGAUUGGUAAUAUAUAUAUAUAUAUAUAUAUAUAUAUAUAUAUAUAUAUAUAUAUAUAUAUAUAUAUAUAUAUAUAUAUAUAUAUAUAUAUUUAUAUAUAUAUAUAUAUAUAUAUAUAUAUAUUAAUGUUUUUGAAAGACGUCUCGUAUGCUUAUCAAGGCUGUAUUUACUCGAUCAACAAUAAAUAAAUAAACAGCAAAAACAGCAAUAUUAUUAUUAUAACAGUGAAAUAUUAUUACAAUUUAAAAUGUCUCCCCCUCUCCCUCCAUUUUUUUUUUAAAAAAUACAUUCAUUAUUGUGAUGGCAGAGCUGAAUUUUCAACAGUGAUUAGUGUCACUUCAGAAAUCAUUCUAAUAUGCUGAUUUGCUGCCCGAGAAACAUUUCCUAUUAUUGUCAGUGUUGAAAACACUUGUGCUGCUUAUUAUUUUUGUGGAAACUAUAAAUUCAUGUAAUUUUUUGUAACAACGUACACUCAUACAAACAUUAAAAAUCUUUGGUGAAUAAAAUAAUUUAUUUAUUUUAAAAAUUCUUACUGAUCUCAAAACUUUGAACGGUAUAGUGUACAAAGGAGAUUUUGGUUUAAAUAUGUUGGUACAUUUACAUUAUAUCACUUAAUGAAAUACAUAGUUAUAAGUUGUACAACUAUAAAGUCAUCAAUAUGUCAUUACAUACCUAAAACAUUGUCACCAUAUUUUACAGUAAAUGACUGAAAAUUUAACAGGAUAUUUUUCAUUCAUCGAAAAUUUUUAUAUUUGAGUGUAGAGAGGCCCAGAGAUAGAAUCAGAGAUCUUGUGCUGACAUUGGUUUAAUGCUAUGAGAGGAGACUCACUGUCUGACUGUCAUCAGACAUACCUACCUGUCACGUAUCUGCACUUAAAAUACGGCACACCCAGUACAAGUGAAACAACUUUCAAUGCCCCUAAAAUAUAUUUUAAAUGUCCUGAAAACAUCAUGUUUAGGUAAGAAAAUGUUGUCUACAAUGCAUUUUUGUACAUGCUGUUAUAAUGUUUCACACAUUCUAUGCCAAUAUUUGUUUCAUUUCAGCAUUUACUGAGAGGUUGCAAAAUGAGGGAAAGGAAAUAAUAGCGAAAAGGUCACAUACCUGUGCUUAGAGAGUGAACAAACAGAGUGCAGAGUGA
ensembl:lncRNA